rnacentral:rRNA from 1 species
AGAAUCAACGCUGGCGGCGUGCCUAACACAUGCAAGUCGAACGCGAAAGGGGAGCAAUCCCUGAUUAGAGUGGCAAACGGGUGAGUAACACGUGGGUGACCUGCCUUCGAGUGGGGGAUAACCUUCCGAAAGGAGGGCUAAUACCGCAUGACAUACCGUGUUUGGAUACACGGAGAUCAAAGCUGGGGAUCGCAAGACCUAGCGCUUGAAGAGGGGCCCGCGCCUGAUUAGCUAGUUGGUGAGGUAAUGGCUCACCAAGGCGACGAUCAGUA